rnacentral:lncRNA from 1 species
UUUUUUUACUGUAUGGUGACUAACAUAAUGUAAUAAAAAAAACAUUAAAAAAAGACUUCUUUUUUUAUUACUUGGUUUGUGCCACUUGAUCACGACGUACCUUAUUAACAUAUUUUUUGGGCUUGGUGUUCAUUGAGCUUCCUGGUUCUGUGGGUUUAUAGUUUUCAUCAGAUUUGGGAAAAAAUCCCAGCCACGAAUUCUUCUAAUCUUUUUUUUUCUAUUCCCCUCCUUCUUAGGUUCUGCAAGUGUGCGUAUAUUGGCAUGACUGAGCUGACUGAGCCUCUGCUCAUUCCUCCCCCUGCCAUUCACUUAUCUCUGUGAGGUUCAUUUUGGUUAGUUCCUGUUGUUACAACUUCAAGUCCAAUAAUAUUUUGUCUGGCAGUGUCUAAGCUGCCAUUAAUCCUAUUCAGUACAUCUAAUAGUUUUUGUCUAUAUGCUGUAUAUCAUUGAGAGUCUGGAAAUUUCGUCUUUCUUUUUUUUCAAAGAGCAUUUCCAAAAGUAUUUUUUUCAGAGCAUUAGAGCAAGAAAUUAAUUUCCUGGAAGAUCACCUUCAGUCCAUUGUGGCUGGUUUUAGGCUUUCUUAGGGUAAGUGUGCAGUAACCCCAUCCUCUAUUUGCAAGAGUGGAUUUUGUGGGCUGUCCCCUGAUUGAGGGCACACAGUGCCUCUCUGUUUGGGUUGGUCUCAACUCUAGAGUCUCCUAGCUCUGCACAAAAUUAGACUCUCUAUUAUUCACCCCCUCUUCUCUGGCUCCCCGCUAAUCUCCACCAGACCUCACAGAAACUCGCCCGUUUAUAUGCAGCUUGAUAUUCAGCCAGAGACGGAGGGAUUCCUCAUGUAGGUUUCUGGAGCUCCUUCCAUAUGCAGCUGUCUCCUCUGGGGUUCUCUGCUCUGCAUAUCCCAGCUGCCUUGGGGUGCCGGAUGCCGAGCUCUAUUUGCUCUGUCCGGUGGGAACACUGCUGUGUUUGCACUCCUUUUCCCUGCACCAAAAUGUGUAAAGAUCCCCCAGUCGGUGAGUCUAGAUAAACAUGGGGCUCCCUUAUGUGAAACCACUCGAAGAUCACAGCUCUACGGCCUGUUGUCCAAUGAAACAGUCGUUUCCUACGAAUUCCUCGUUCUACAGCUGUUGGCGGCAGAGGUGGGGGUGAUCGAGGCCAGACACUCUCAUGUGGAUCUGAGGAAUAGAAGAGGCUGCAGAAGCUCGAACAACAUGUUUCAUC